UACAGAGGUCUCAAGCGUUGUUCGGAUUCAUUGGGCGUAAAGGGUGUGUAGGCGGCGCGUAAGUCGGGUGUGAAAUUCGAUGGCUUAACUCCGAAACUGCAUUCGAUACUGCCGGUGCUUGAGGACUGGAGAGGAGACUGGAAUUUAUGGUGUAGCAGUGAAAUGCGUAGAGAUCAUGAGGAAGACCAGUGGCGAAGGCGGGUCUCUGGACAGUUCCUGACACUGAGACACGAAGGCCAGGGGAGCAAACGGG
rnacentral:rRNA from 1 species